AUAUUACUCCCUCCGUUCCGAAUUACUUGUCUCAGGUAUGGAUGUAUCUAGAUGUAUUUUAGUUCUAGAUACAUCCAUUUCUGCGAUAAGUAAUUUGGAACGGAGAGAGUAUUAG
rfam:Triticum urartu cultivar G1812 contig286909, whole genome shotgun sequence.